CCUACGGGAGGCAGCAGUGGGGAAUAUUGCACAAUGGGCGCAAGCCUGAUGCAGCCAUGCCGCGUGUGUGAAGAAGGCCUUCGGGUUGUAAAGCACUUUCAGUCAGGAGGAAAGGUUAGUAGUUAAUACCUGCUAGCUGUGACGUUACUGACAGAAGAAGCACCGGCUAACUCCGUGCCAGCAGCCGCGGUAAUACGGAGGGUGCGAGCGUUAAUCGGAAUUACUGGGCGUAAAGCGUACGCAGGCGGUUUGUUAAGCGAGAUAUGAAAGCCCCGGGCUCAACCUGGGAACUGCAUUUCGAACUGGCAAACUAGAGUGUGAUAGAGGGUGGUAGAAUUUCAGGUGUAGCGGUGAAAUGCGUAGAGAUCUGAAGGAAUACCGAUGGCGAAGGCAGCCACCUGGGUCAACACUGACGCUCAUGUACGAAAGCGUGGGGAGCAAACAGGAUUAGAUACCCUGGUAGUCCACGCCGUAAACGAUGUCUACUAGAAGCUCGGAACUUCGGUUCUGUUUUUCAAAGCUAACGCAUUAAGUAGACCGCCUGGGGAGUACGGCCGCAAGGUUAAAACUCAAAUGAAUUGACGGGG
rnacentral:rRNA from 1 species